rnacentral:rRNA from 1 species
AGCAGUCGCCACGGUAAUACGGAGGGAGCUAGCGUUGUUCGGAAUUACUGGGCGUAAAGCGCACGUAGGCGGCUUUGUAAGUUAGAGGUGAAAGCCUGGAGCUCAACUCCAGAAUUGCCUUUAAGACUGCAUCGCUUGAAUCCAGGAGAGGUGAGUGGAAUUCCGGGUGUAGAGGUGAAAUUCGUAGAUAUUCGGAAGAACACCAGUGGCGAAGGCGGCUCACUGGACUGGUAUUGACGCUGAGGUGCGAAAGCGUGGGGAGCAAACAGGAUUAGAUACCCCUGUAGUCCUGUCUCUUAUACA